rnacentral:rRNA from 1 species
AGUGAACGCUGGCGGUAGGCCUAACACAUGCAAGUUGAACGGCAGCACAGGAGAGCUUGCUCUCUGGGUGGCGAGUGGCGGACGGGUGAGGAAUUCAUCGGAAUCUACUUUUUCGUGGGUGAUAACGUAGGGAAACUUACGCUAAUACCGCAUACGACCUACGGGUGAAAGCUGGGGACCUUCGGGCCUUUCGCGAUUGAAUGAGCCGCUGUCGGAUUAGCUAGUUGGCGGGGAAAAGCCCCACCAAGGCGACGAUCCGUAGCUGGUCUGAGAGGAUGAUCAGCCACAAUGGAACUGAGACACGGUCCAGACUCCUACGGGAGGCAGCAGUGGGGAAUAUUGGACAAGGGGCGCAAGCCUGAUCCAGCCAUACCGCGUGGGUGAAGAAGGCCUUCGGGUUGUAAAGCCCUUUUGUUGGGAAAGAAAUCCAGCUGGCUAAUACCCGGUUGGGAUGACGGUACCCAAAGAAUAAGCACCGGCUAACUUCGUGCCAGCAGCCGCCGUAA